AUCAGAGGGUGGCUGCCUGAGGGAGACCUCCGAGGAGGCUGAAGACAGGCCCUAUCGGCCCAAGAGCUUCCAGCAGAAACGGAACUAUUUCCAGAGGAUGGGGCAGCCACAGAUCACAGUGAGGACGAUGAAGCCCCCGGCCAAGGUCCACAUCCCCCAGGGGGAGGCGCAGGAGGCGGAGGAGGAGGAGGAGGAGCAGGAGGAGCAAGAAGUGGAAACAAGAGCAGGUUGUGGGGAGCUGGGCAGGGCCUGGGGCUCCGGUGGCUCUGCACGCGGUUAACAGUCUUUCCUGUUUCCUGGUCAGUGCCGUCCCCUCCUCCUCCCCCCAUCGUGAAGAAGCCAUUGAAGCAAGGUGGGGCCAAAGCUCCAAAAGAGGCUGAGGCUGAGCCAGCCAAGGAGACAGCGGCCAAGGGCCAUGGCCAAGGGCCAGCCCAAGGCAGGGGGACUGUGGUGCGCAGCU
rnacentral:sRNA from 1 species